GAAGGGCAUUUGGUGGAUGCCUUGGCGCAUAGAGGCGAUGAAGGACGUGUUAGGCUGCGAUAAGCCCGGAGGAGCUGCCAAAGAGCUUUGAUCCCGGGAUGUCCGAAUGGGGGAACCCACCCUUAGGGGUAUCGGCAUCUGAAUACAUAGGAUGUCGAAGCAAACGCGGGGAAUUGAAACAUCUUAGUACCCGUAGGAAAGGAAAUCGAAGAGACUCCGUUAGUAGUGGCGAGCGAACGCGGA
rnacentral:rRNA from 16 species